UACGGAGGGGACUAGCGUUGUUCGGAAUUACUGGGCGUAAAGCGCACGUAGGCGGAUUUGUAAGUCAGGGGUGAAAUCCCGGGGCUCAACCUCGGAACUGCCUUUGAUACUGCAAAUCUCGAGUCCGGAAGAGGUGAGUGGAAUUCCUAGUGUAGAGGUGAAAUUCGUAGAUAUUAGGAAGAACACCGGUGGCGAAGGCGGCUCACUGGCUCAUUUCUGACGCUCAGGCGCGACAGCGUGGGGAUCAAACAGG
rnacentral:rRNA from 1 species